GGCGAGAUAGCUCAGUCGGUAGAGCAGAGGAUUGAAAAUCCUCGUGU
rnacentral:tRNA from 1 species